rnacentral:rRNA from 1 species
AUGCUUGUCUACGAGUACAUGCCCAUAGGCUCCCUCGCCGGCCUCCUCUUCCGCAACGGUGCAUGCCUGAGCUGGUGCGACCGGUACUGCAUCAUGGUCGGUGUGGCGAGAGGGCUGGCGUACCUGCACCUUCGCUGCCACGAGUGCAUCAUACACUGUGACAUCAAGCCGGAGAACAUCCUUCUAGAUGAGGACAUGUCCCCGAGAAUCGCCGAUUUUGGGAUGGCAAAGCUGGUUGGGAGGGACUUCAGCCGCGCGCUGACAAUGAUGCGGGGCACCAUAGGGUACCUGGCGCUGGAAUGGAUCUCUGGGCACCCUAUCAGUGCCAAGGCAGACGUCUACAGCUUUGGUAUGGUGCUCUUUGAGCUCAUCCCGGGACGACGAAACUCUGAGGGAUACAGCGAGGUGGAGGCAGCAGGGAGCGGGAGUAGUGAUUCGUGGACCUUCUUCCCGGUGUGGGCUACAGGAAAGAUUGUUGAAAGGAAGGUGGGCGAGUUGGCUGACCCGCGGCUGCGCGGCCAAGUGAGGCUAGAGGAGCUGGAGCGGGCAUGCAGGGUGGCGUGCUGGUGCAUCCAGGACGAGGAGGCGUUGCGGCCCACCAUGGCGCAGGUCGUGCAGGUGUUGGAGGGCAUGGUCCAUGUCCACGUGCCACCGGUGCCGCGAGUGCUACAGCACAUCGUCUCAUGA